UCGACAGCGCGUGGUACGACUCCACGAAUAACUUGAUGGUACGUUUUACUGACUUUCUUCAAUCUUUACCGGUUUCCUUGCUUCCGGCUUUGCUCUAUUUUUAGCUCAUGCCGGUUUCUCUCUUGUCUAUUUUCCCCAAUCCCCGAGUUUUGUGGUGAGAGCGCAGCUCUUAGCGCAAAACUUAACUUAAAAACUUAGCGUGAAACCGGCACUGCCAGUCCCCGAGUUUUGGGUCAAACACCUUCUCUUUAACGCACAACUUAUCUCAGAAACGCGCAAAACCGGCACUGCCAGUCCCCGAGUUUCGGGUUAAGAACUUUGUUCUUAGCGCAAAACUUAUCUUAGAAAUGCGCGAAACCGGCACUGCCAGUCCCCGAGUUUCGGGUUAAGAACCUUGUUCUUAGCGCAAAACUGAACUUACUUCUUUUUCUUGAACAGCUCACGGCUGACGCUCGGAAGGCCCUCUUCGAGGAGCUUCUAUGGGAGCAUCGGGAGCUCGCUGAGGCACAUGAUAAGUGCCAAGUGAUCCCGGAAGCUUCCAUCGAUGCUCUCAAGGAGCAGCUCGCCGCCGCCCAACGGGAGAAGGACCAGCUCAUCCGGCAGCACCGGGAGGAGCUGAGCGCCCACAAGACCAGCUACCAGGAGCUCAAGUCUCAGCUCAUUCAGCUGGGGCUUGAUCAUGCCAUGGCCCUCAAAGCCGCUGAAGCGAAUGCAGCGGCCAAGUUGGACGAGGCUCUGGAGGACGCCAGCAAUGCCACUGUGGUAUUGCGGGCUGAGCUGGAGGAGCUGGCCAAGGCCCGGAAGGGUGCUGAGGAGAAAGCCGCGCGGCUGGAGGAGGAGCACAAGGAAUGCAACCAGCUGAUCCUGCAGACUGACGCACUUGCC